UUUCAUAGCCAGUGCUUUGGGACAGACAUUUUCCAACUACCUUGCGCUCCAGUCUACUUUGAGCCAUAAAGGCAACAUUUGUGAAGCCAGAAUACAAAUUAAACGAUGAGAAAGCCUGGAAGGAGGAGAGAUGAUUAGAAACGAUUCGGUUGGUCGUUUUAUGUGUGGAUUAAUUGUCGGAGUAGAGGUCCUUGUGCAUUUCAGGGGGACAAAAGAAAUAUAUGCACGAUGGCGCACGCGCGCAGCCGGUUUGAGUUCCGUGUUCAGAUUGAGCGUCGGGGAUCUUAACAACCACCCCCUACUGAAGAUGCCAUCCUCCAAUUACCCAUAUGUGUAAUGUAAUGGAACUAAGUCAUGAUCAAGGGCUAGGUACGUCGGUGAUCACUGUUAUUUUGUUCUCAGCCAACACUACUUCAAUCCCCCUACCCUACUGUUUUUAAUUUAAUGAGUUUAUAAAGGGAAUUGUGAAGGUAACCGAUGGCUUAAUUAUAGCCAGUAACUACUGUACCAUACCUGGACUAAGAUGUCGCUGAUGUAGCCUACUGUUCACUGUCCCAAGAUGCUGGGAGUGUGCUGCUUCCCGGCCCUUGGAGGAUCCUGGCGUGGACUGAGAAGUAGGCUAUGCAUAUCAUUAUUUCUAAUAUUUUAGAGAACAAGGUUGAUAUGGUCAUUUAUACAGUCAACUUAUUGGCAAGGUCACACUUUCAAUAACCAAAUAUUUACCCCACCAAAAUCAAGAAAUUGGUUGUAGCCUUCCUGCUAUAACAAGGCAAACGCAUCUGAUGAUUAAAUAAUAUUUCAUGAUAUUUAUCACUUCUCUCAAACUCAUAUCACUAGGGGCAGGGAUGCUCUGAAGGAGAAUCUGGUCUCCUUCAAACCAGCCUGCCAGUCUCUGAAGCGGGUCAAGGUUCUGUUGCUGGGUCAGGAAAAUCCAACUUUAUUAACUCUAUCAGAUCUGUGAUGUAUGGGCAAAUUGUUCUGCUGCCCAAUAUUGGCAUUUCUGCUGAGGGCUUUACCAAGAGGGUAGGCCUAUUAGUAUAUCUGUCAUCCAAGUCCCAUUUCUUCAUCUAGUUUUGUUAUCAUGUUAUGACGACCUAUUUUCCACCUAAUGACAGCUUGAGUAGCCUACAAACCAUUUCAAGCUUUUAUUGAUAAGGAAAAUCUACCUUUUAUACAAGACCAAUCCAUUUAUAUUUUAGAUGGUGAUCUACUGUACAUCUGAUUUGACCCUUCCUGCUCCCCUUCAUGCAGCUCAAAUGCUAUGAAAUCUGGUCAGAGAAAGGGGAGAAGCCCACAGCUCUGAUCCUGUGUGAUGUGUUGGCUCUGGGGGACGGUACAUACAUACAUACAUACAUACAUACAUACAUACAUACAUACAUACAUACAUGCAUGCAUGCAUGCAUGCAUGCAUACAUACAGUGGGGCAAAAAAGUAUUUAGUCAGCCACCAAUUGUGCAUGUUCUCCCACUUAAAAAGAUGAGAGAGGCCUGUAAUUUUCAUCAUAGGUACACUUCAACUAUGACAGACGAAGUGACAGUUGAAGUGUACCUAUGAUGAAAAUUACAGGCCUCUCAUCUUUUUAAGUGGGAGAACUUGCACAAUUGGUGUCUGACUAAAUACUUUUUUGCCCCACUGUAUAUGGCCCAAUACACAUGUUAUAUUCACACUCCAGACAUCGUUAUCCUGGAAAUGUGUAUUUUCAUUCAUUUUUGUUUAUCCGUCUGCCUUAUGUGCAAGUGAUCAUAGCAAUAGAAUGAAUAGAACAGGCUUGGAACCUCUGACCCUGGCAAUUGAAUGUGGAUAGGAUUUGAGGAACUAAUUUGUAUUUCCUGUGUUAAUAACAUGAACAACAUAUUAAAUUGUUGUGUAUUCUACA